GGAAAACUGGAGUUUGACACAAACAGCGUAAAUAAAACACACACCAUUAAUAUUUCAGCAUCUGUAGAAAUAAAAAGAUGCUUGUGUUUGAGGCUGUAGCGGCUGGUCGGUCGGUUCUCCAGGUGUUCCAGGUAAACUGGAGUUCCUGAUGGUCGAUGCAGGAAGAGAAGACAACAGACCUGCAGCUUAGAGCCUGAAGUUUUGCUUUUCACCUGGAGAAUCUGACAGCAGUUCACAGUGACAGGAUGUUCCUGUUUGCUGUUCACUGCCAGGUGAGGCAGAUCUAUUGAUGCACACAGCAGGAAGCCAGUUGGAUCUGAAUGAUGUGAUGAGGAAACUGGAUGAAGAUCUGGCUCAGAAACAGGCAGUAAUCUGCAGAUGAGGCCCCUCAGGGGCCACUGUGGGGCCCUGAAUUAUUCACACUGCACCUAUCCAACAAAAUGAAUCCGUUUUAUUUGCAGACAACAAAAAUGUCUGCUGCCUGUAAAUCUGCAAAAGAUAUUUUCAGACUGGGAUGGUGGCAAUAAACCCAGAAGAAGAAUGAUCUGAGAUCCUCAAACUGUUAAAAUAUUUAGUUUUUCUGUCUGAGGAGGGAAACUGAAAAACAGGGAUGACCAAAUAUCACCCAGUUUAAAAGAAAAGAAACUGAAUAUUUUUAAUAGAAGUUUAAAACCAAACAAACGACUGCAGACGGAUCCACCAUGAUGAGACGACGACAGCUUUGGUUUUUAUUUAUACUCAUUUCUUUCCCAUUACAGAGACUGGAGGGAAACACUGCAAAGCUACAGAGUGAAAAAUUAACUUCUGCUCUUAUUUAGCAGAAGAGAAAAGGAGGAGCUCAUUUCUCAAAGUCAUAUUUCCACCUGCUUAUUCAGUCAUUUAUAAAUGUCAAGCUAUUUGGCUUGCUAACUAAAUAUUUAGCUAAUAUCUAAAUUCACUUGCCAAUAACAGGAAGUGUACUACCAAAAUAAAAGCUUGGUCUUCCAGCCCUCCUAAUAAUCUCCCGCUGUCGAACUGCUUCAUGUCUCCUCUUCAUCAUCUUUUCUUUUCUUGUUCAACAUUUCAGCUGAAAACGAGGAAACUCUGUUUUUAAGACAAUCCAGACGUUUAGCAACAGAUCAGCAUUCAGUCAAGACACAGCUUUUAUUUUGAUAGUCCACUUCCGCUACCAUGUGAACAUGCACAUUAGAUCAAUAUUUAGCUCUGAGCUGCUAACUAAAUAUUUAGUUAAAUAUUUAUUUAGCAUAUUUGAAGCUAAAUAUUUCCUUUUCCAAUAAUAUUUUUUAAACUUUGACAUUUUGUAAAUGAGUUAAUAACAUGAAGAUACGAGUUUGAAGAAUGAUCCAUGUUUUCUUUUCUGACUGUCUUAAUAAGCCAGAUUAUUGCUGUUUGUUUUCCAGGCAUGUUUGAAGCAAACUAAUAAACUAAACUCCUCCCUGUG